UCUAGAAGGAGUCAUAGUUCCACUAAUCAGGAGGUCCAGAAGGAGUCAUAGUUCCACUAAUCAGGAGGUCCAGAAGGAGUCAUAGUUCCACUAAUCAGGAGGUCUAGAAGGAGUCAUAGUUCCACUAAUCAGGAGGUCUAGAAGGAGUCAUAGUUCCACUAAUCAGGAGGUCUAGAAGGAGUCAUAGUUCCACUAAUCAGGAGGUCCAGAAGGAGUCAUAGUUCCACUAAUCAGGAGGUCUAGAAGGAGUCAUAGUUCCACUAAUCAGGAGGUCCAGAAGGAGUCAUAGUUCCACUAAUCAGGAGGUCCAGAAGGAGUCAUAGUUCCACUAAUCAGGAGGUCUAGAAGGAGUCAUAGUUCCACUAAUCAGGAGGUCUAGAAGGAGUCAUAGUUCCACUAAUCAGGAGGUCUAGAAGGAGUCAUAGUUCCACUAAUCAGGAGGUCUAGAAGGAGUCAUAGUUCCACUAAUCAGAGCUCCUAAAAUGACUCCACAGACAGUGAACUACUUUCUCCAUCCAGCUGUAAAAACAGACAUCAGCUGCUUCAGACUUGGUUCAGGGGUUCUCCAUGGAAACCAGAGUUAGUGUGAAGCUCAGACAGUGUGAAGGAACCUUCAGAACAUCAACCUCUAUGGACGGAGGACCAGAACUAAACUUCCAGAUGAAAGUUUGCUGAAGAA